rnacentral:misc_RNA from 1 species
GAUGAAGAACGCAGCGAAAUGCGAUAACUAAUGUGAAUUGCAGAAUUCCGUGAAUCAUCGAGUCUUUGAACGCACAUUGCGCCCCCUGGCAUUCCGGGGGGCAUGCCUGUCCGAGCGUCAUUUCUGCCCUCCAGCCCGGCUGGGUGUUGGGCGCUGUCCCCCCGGGGACACGCCCCAAAGGCAGUGGCGGCGCCGCGUCGGGUCCUCGAGCGUAUGGGGCUUUGUCACCCGCUCGGGACGGACUCGUCGGCGCUGGUCUUCCUCCAGGCGACCCUUCGGGGCUCGUCUUCCUUCGGUUGACCUCGGAUCAGGUAGGGUUACCCGCUGAACUUAAGCAUAUCAAUAAGCGGAGGA